rnacentral:rRNA from 1 species
UAGACUGUGAGUUGCGAACGGGUGAGUAACGCGUAGGUAACCUGCCUGGUAGCGGGGGAUAACUAUUGGAAACGAUAGCUAAUACCGCAUAAUAUUAAUUAUUGCAUGAUAAUUGAUUGAAAGAUGCAACUGCAUCACUACCAGAUGGACCUGCGUUGUAUUAGCUAGUAGGUGAGGUAACGGCUCACCUAGGCGACGAUACAUAGCCGACCUGAGAGGGUGAUCGGCCACACUGGGACUGAGACACGGCCCAGACUCCUACGGGAGGCAGCAGUAGGGAAUCUUCGGCAAUGGACGAAAGUCUGACCGAGCAACGCCGCGUGAGUGAAGAAGGUUUUCGGAUCGUAAAGCUCUGUUGUAAGAGAAGAACGGGUGUGAGAGUGGAAAGUUCACACUGUGACGGUAUCUUACCAGAAAGGGACGGCUAACUACGUGCCAGCAGCCGCGGUAAUACGUAGGUCCCGAGCGUUGUCCGGAUUUAUUGGGCGUAAAGCGAGCGCAGGCGGUUAGAUAAGUCUGAAGUUAAAGGCUGUGGCUUAACCAUAGUACGCUUUGGAAACUGUUUAACUUGAGUGCAGAAGGGGAGAGUGGAAUUCCAUGUGUAGCGGUGAAAUGCGUAGAUAUAUGGAGGAACACCGGUGGCGAAAGCGGCUCUCUGGUCUGUAACUGACGCUGAGGCUCGAAAGCGUGGGGAGCGAACAGGAUUAGAUACCCUGGUAGUCCACGCCGUAAACGAUGAGUGCUAGGUGUUAGGCCCUUUCCGGGGCUUAGUGCCGCAGCUAACGCAUUAAGCACUCCGCCUGGGGAGUACGACCGCAAGGUUGAAACUCAAAGGAAUUGACGGGGGC